rnacentral:rRNA from 1 species
GAUGAACGCUGGCGGCGUGCUUAACACAUGCAAGUCGAACGAAGCACCUUGAUUUGAUUCUUCGGAUGAAGAUCUUGGUGACUGAGUGGCGGACGGGUGAGUAACGCGUGGGUAACCUGCCUCAUACAGGGGGAUAACAGUUAGAAAUGACUGCUAAUACCGCAUAAGACCACAGCACCGCAUGGUGCAGGGGUAAAAACUCCGGUGGUAUGAGAUGGACCCGCGUCUGAUUAGGUAGUUGGUGGGGUAACGGCCUACCAAGCCGACGAUCAGUAGCCGACCUGAGAGGGUGACCGGCCACAUUGGGACUGAGACACGGCCCAAACUCCUACGGGAGGCAGCAGUGGGGAAUAUUGCACAAUGGGGGAAACCCUGAUGCAGCGACGCCGCGUGAGCGAUGAAGUAUUUCGGUAUGUAAAGCUCUAUCAGCAGGGAAGAAAAUGACGG